rnacentral:sRNA from 1 species
CUUCGUCGAUCUGCUGCGGGCUGAUGAAGUGGAUGUGCGUGUCGAUGCCGCCCGCCGUGACGAUCUGGCCUUCGCCCGCGAUCACUUCGGUCGAAGCGCCGAUCGGAAUCGUCACGCCCGGCUGCACGUCGGGAUUGCCCGCCUUGCCGAUGCGCCAGACGCGGCCGUCCUUGAUGCCGAUGUCGGCCUUCACGAUGCCCCAGUGAUCGAUGAUCACGGCGUUGGUCACGACCGUGUCGGCGACUUCGGCGUGCAGGCGCUGCGACUGGCCCAUGCCGUCGCGGAU